AGCUGGUCUGAAGGUAGUGAGUUAUUUUGAUUGGUAACUGUCAGUUACAGAUCAAACUUCUUGUUCUCCCCUUUCCCCCAUUCUUACUAGUACACUUGACUAGUCUAAA
ensembl:misc_RNA Y_RNA Y RNA